rnacentral:rRNA from 1 species
AACGAACGCUGGCGGCAUGCCUAACACAUGCAAGUCGAACGAGACCUUCGGGUCUAGUGGCGCACGGGUGCGUAACGCGUGGGAACCUGCCCUUAGGUUCGGAAUAACUCCCCGAAAGGGGUGCUAAUACCGGAUAAUGUCUUCGGACCAAAGAUUUAUCGCCUUUGGAUGGGCCCGCGUUGGAUUAGCUAGUUGGUAGGGUAAAAGCCUACCAAGGCGACGAUCCAUAGCUGGUCUGAGAGGAUGAUCAGCCACACCGGGACUGAGACACGGCCCAGACUCCUACGGGAAGCAGCAGUGGGGAAUAUUGGACAAUGGGCGAAAGCCUGAUCCAGCAAUGCCGCGUGAGUGAUGAAGGCCUUAGGGUUGUAAAGCUCUUUUACCCGGGAUGAUAAUGACAGUACCGGGAGAAUAAGCUCCGGCUAACUCCGUG